rnacentral:tRNA from 1 species
UCCCUGAUGGUUCAGCAGCUAUGACUCUGCACUCCCAAUGCAGGGGCCUAGAUUCGAUCCCUGGUCAGGGAA